CAAAGAUAAUUGUGCUGCACAGAUAAUAUUCACAGUGUAAUUGGCAUAUGCCGUUGUAACAUUGGUUACAUAACUGUUAUGUAACACACACGUUAUGUACUGUUAUAUAACUAUUAUGUAACACGCGUUAUUUCUUCCAAUGGCACAACGUAGCACGAAUUAAAGAAAUUGCUAAAAAAAAAAUUGGGUUCGUUUGGGCAGAAGCGCGGGGCUAAUAUAAUUUUUUAAUCUGUUGUUGAUGUUACCCAUUUCGCGUUUGCGGCACAGCAUAAAGAUGUUCGGGUGGAAUGUUAAGUUUCGCAGCAACUGGCAUGAUGAGAGAGUCGAAACCACCGGAGACGAGAAACACCUGCUUUCCAUGAGCUCGUAAAGCUGACACCAACUCUCUAAAUCUCUUACUCGAUACCAUCGGUCAGUUUUGGUUGGUGCGUGUUCAAGAACUCCUUUAUUUGGGCUAAACUUGGAUUUAUUAUCUGCAA